GGACCAUCAUGUCGGUCGUGCCUCGGUACGUACUGGUAUCGUUGGUUUCUCCCUUCUGACGAACCACGAUGUCAUUUAUUUGGUGUUGUGGGGAAUCAGGACUGUUACUUUGAAAAUUUUAAAGAGUGUUUAAAGCAGGCUCACGCUUGAAUACAUUAGCAUGGAAUAAUGAAAUAGGACGUUUGAUUCUAUUUUGUUGGUUUCUAGGAUCGACGUAAUGAU
rnacentral:rRNA from 1 species